AGACCGAUAGCGAACAAGUACCGUGAGGGAAAGAUGAAAAGAACUUUGAAAAGAGAGUUAAAGAGUACCUGAAACUGCUGAAAGGGAACCGAAUCGUUUCCAGUGUCUAUAAUCCAUGGUAUAUUUCAUUGGUGUGUAAGUGCGUGCAGCGUUUUGGAAGUAGUUUUCUGCUCCUGUCGUUGUUGUGCAUUUGCCUGCUGGUGCCCUGUGCUGUGGUGGGACGUCAGAGUCAGUUCGUGUGUUGCGGGAAAUGGUUAUUGGGGAGGUAGGUCACUUCGGUGGCUGUUAUAUCCUGGUAACUAGUCGUCGUGGCUGGGACUGAGGUGCCUACAACGUGCUUUUGAGUCUGCGGGCUUCUCGUGUUGCUGUUUGCUUGGAUAGCUUGCUAUGUUUGUAAAUAAGUCGUGCGAUUGAGACCUGUAGUAACUUGUUGCCGUUCGGGACUUUGACGAAAUGGAGCGAUCCGACCCGUCUUGAAACACGGACCAAG
rnacentral:rRNA from 1 species